rnacentral:rRNA from 1 species
CCUACGGGAGGCAGCAGUGGGGAAUAUUGCGCAAUGGGCGAAAGCCUGACGCAGCGACGCCGCGUGAGGGAUGAAGGUCUUCGGAUCGUAAACCUCUGUCAGCAGGGAAGCACGGCCACUGUGCUAAUCAGCAGUGAAUUGACGGUACCUGCAAAGGAAGCACCGGCUACCUCCGGGCCAGCAGCCGCGGUAAUACGGAGGGUGCGAGCGUUAAUCGGAAUUACUGGGCGUAAAGCGCUCGUAGGCGGUAUGUCAAGUCAAGGGUGAAAUCCCCGCGCUCAACGUGGGAACUGCCUUUGAAACUGGCGAACUGGAGUGGGUGAGAGGAUAGUGGAAUUCCAGGUGUAGGAGUGAAAUGCGUAGAUAUCUGGAGGAACAUCAGUGGCGAAGGCGGCUAUCUGGCACAUAACUGACGCUGAGGAGCGAAAGCGUGGGUAGCAAACAGGAUUAGAUACCCCUGUAGUC